rnacentral:rRNA from 1 species
UACGUAGGGUCCAAGCGUUAAUCGGAAUUACUGGGCGUAAAGCGUGCGCAGGCGGUUGUGUAAGCCAGAUGUGAAAUCCCCGGGCUUAACCUGGGAAUGGCAUUUGGGACUGCACGGCUAGAGUACGGCAGAGGAGACUAGAAUUCCUGGUGUAGCAGUGAAAUGCGUAGAUAUCAGGAGGAAUACCGAUGGCGAAGGCAGGUCUCUGGGUCGAUACUGACGCUCAUGCACGAAAGCGUGGGGAGCGAACAGG